GACGAACGCUGGCGGCGUGCUUAACACAUGCAAGUCGAACGGAAAGGCCCUGCUUUUGUGGGGUGCUCGAGUGGCGAACGGGUGAGUAACACGUGAGUAACCUGCCCUUGACUUUGGGAUAACUUCAGGAAACUGGGGCUAAUACCGGAUAGGAGCUCCUGCUGCAUGGUGGGGGUUGGAAAGUUUCGGCGGUUGGGGAUGGACUCGCGGCUUAUCUGCUUGUUGGUGGGGUAGUGGAUUACCAAGGCUUUGAAGGGUAGCCGGCCUGAGAGGGUGACCGGACACAUUGGGACGGAGAUACGGCCCAGACUCCUACGGGAGGCAGCAGUGGGGAAUAUUGCACAAUGGGCGGAAGCCUGAUGCAGCAACGCCGCGUGGGGGAUGACGGCCUUCGGGUUGGAAACCGCUUUCGCCUGUGACGAAGCGUGAGUGACGGUAAUGGGUAAAGAAGCACCGGCUAACUACGUG
rnacentral:rRNA from 1 species